rnacentral:rRNA from 1 species
GAUGAACGCUGGCGGCGUGCCUAAUACAUGCAAGUCGAGCGAACAGAUGAGGAGCUUGCUCCUCUGACGUUAGCGGCGGACGGGUGAGUAACACGUGGAUAACCUACCUAUAAGACUGGGAUAAUUUCGGGAAACCGGAGCUAAUACCGGAUAAUAUAUUGAACCGCAUGGUUCAAUAGUGAAAGACGGCUUUGCUGUCACUUAUAGAUGGAUCCGCGCCGGAUUAGCUGGUUGGUACGGUAACGGGUUACCACGGCUACGAUGCGUAGGCGACCGCAUAGAGUGAUAGGCCGCAUUGGAGCGGGGACAGGGUCCAGGCGCCUACGGGAGGCAGCAGAAGGGAAUCUGCCGCAAUGGGGGGAAGCCUGACGGAGCAACGCCGCGUGAGUGAUGAAGGUCUUCGGAUCGUAAAGCUCUGUUAUUAGGGAAGAACAAAUGUGUAAGUAACUAUGCACGUCUUGACGGUACCUAAUCAGAAAGCAACGGCUAACUACGUG